GAUGAACGCUGGCGGCGUGCCUAAUACAUGCAAGUCGAGCGAACAGACGAUGAGCUUGCUCCUCUGACGUUAUCGGCUGACGUGUGAGUAACUCGUGUAUAACCUACCUAUAAUACUUGGAUAACUUCGGGAAACCGGUGCUAAUACCGUAUAAUAUAUUGAACCUCAUGGUUCAAUAGUUAAUGACGGUUUUUCUUUCACUUAUCGAUUGAUCCGCGCCGCAUUAGCUAGUUGGUAAGGUAACGGCUUACCAAGGCAACGAUGCGUAGCCGAACUGAGAGGGUGAUCGGCCACACUGGAAGUGAGACACGGACAAGACUACUACGGGAGGCAGCAGUAGGGAAUAUUCCGCAAUGGGCGAAAGCAUGACGGAGCAAAGCCGAGUGAGUGAUGAAGGUCUUCGGAUCGUAAAAAAAUGUUAUUAGGGAAGAACAAAUGUGUAAGAAAAUAUGAACGUAUUGACGGUAACAAAAAAGAAAGCAACGGCUAACUACGUG
rnacentral:rRNA from 1 species